rnacentral:rRNA from 1 species
GACAGAGGGGGCAAGCGUUGCUCGGAAUCACUGGGCGUAAAGGGCGCGUAGGCGGGAUGGCAAGUCGGUCGUGAAAUCCUUCGGCCCAACCGAAGAACGUCGGCCGAUACUGCCGUUCUUGAGGGAUGCAGAGGAGACUGGAAUUCCCGGUGUAGCGGUGAAAUGUGUAGAGAUCGGGAGGAACACCGGUGGCGAAGGCGGCUCUCUGGAACGCAACUGACGCUGAGACGCGAAAGCGUGGGGAGCAAACAGG